rnacentral:rRNA from 1 species
AUACGGAGGAUGCGAGCGUUAUCCGGAUUUAUUGGGUUUAAAGGGUGCGUAGGCUGUGCGUUAAGUCAGGGGUGAAAUGCCGUCGCUCAACGACGGAGCUGCCCUUGAUACUGGCGUGCUGGAGUACGGAUGCCGUUGGAGGAAUGAGUGGUGUAGCGGUGAAAUGCUGAGAUAUCACUAAGAACACCGAUUGCGAAGGCAUCCGACGAAUCCGUCACUGACGCUGAGGCAUGAAGGCUUGGGGAGAGAACAGAAUUAGAUACCCUGUUAUACCACGCCGUAAACGAUGAUGACUGACCGUCGGCGAUAGACUGACGGUGGCCAAACGAAAGCGAUAAGUCAUCCACCUGGGGAGUACGUCGGCAACGAUGAAACUCAAAUGAAUUGUCGGGG